ensembl:misc_RNA Y_RNA Y RNA
GGCUGGUCUGAAGGUAGUUGAGUUAUCUCAAUUGAUUGUUCACAGUCAGUUACAGAUCCUACGCCUUAUUCUACUCUUUCCCCCUUCUCACUGAAAUGCACUUGACUAGUUAAAA